AGUACACGAUCCGUACCGCCUGCCAGAUCCGUUCUGCGCAUGCGCAUAAUUACGUAGUAGAAGACGUAACGAUUCCUCUGUAAUAUCUGUACCACGCAUGUCUUGAAACAGUUGACGGCCAAGAAGCGGCACAUUUGACGAGACCAACUUUGCAGAAAAAUUUAUUUUGACUACACCCGACGAAUUAUGUUCACAGAUUGUGCAGGUUGAUGCCACUAAAGACCACGAUUAACUUCACCAAAGGACAUGGAAAUAUGUGCGUUCAAACCACCAGAAGGUGCAGUGCAACCAAGUCCACCAAGACCCCCCAGUACACUUAAAUCCCCCAAGCCCCCCCAGGACACACAAAUCACUCAACAACAUAAAAUGACAAAAUGCCACCCCAAAUUGUCAGAUGGCACAGUUCAUGUCAUAAGUUCACCAAAAGCCCAAGGACUCAGAACAUGAAGCCAAAGAAGUAGAUGAUGACUCGGCCCAGUGACACCAAAUGGAAAAGCCCAUUGCAGUAGUCAACCCUACUGGAGAUGAAUGCAUCAAUAAGUUAUCUAAAUCAUGUUUUGACAUUAGACAUCUAAGUUUGGCCAUGUUUUUGAGGCUUAUGACUCUGCCACUGCACAUGGUUUAUAGAGAGAGGCACGCACACUCCAUUCUGUCAGAUAAAAAUGUUUGCAUGGCUCUCAUGGCAUUGGAAAUUGCCAGAAGGGAUAGGUCAAGCAGGAGCAGUGUGAAAGGCGUCCUAAUUGCUUGAGUUGGAGGGGAAACAUCUAAUGGCCACCUUACAACAAACAAGUUUGUCAAGAUUUGGGAAAGAUUCUUAAAAGAUUGUAGUAUUUUAACUAAUGCCCCCCAUUCAAGCUUUACUCAAAAGACUCCAAUCUUUAAGGAAUCUUUUCUCAAAUCUUGUCAAAGUUGUUUGGUGUAAGGAGGCAAUUAGUCUAAUAGCCUUGCACCAAACCACCAAAGUACUCAUGACUGUCAGGUAGGGGUGUGACGGUAUUUUAACACUUUCAAAAAAUGUCCAGUGAUGACAUAUUAACAGCAAAAACCUUUUAUAGACUAUUUCUUUGUACAGUGUACUCAUGCAAUGGGCAGCAAUCGUGAGAUGUUUGCUUAAUGUUAUAGUUGUGAAAACAUUAGAAAAUGUUAUGGGCUUGAAAUUGCAUACAAUACCUGAUGUAUUUUUUCAUGUUACAUGAAUUAAAAUGAAGUGUUAUUUAUAUAAGAUCAUACUUAUGUGCCUAUUAGUGUGUUUAUAGUCAGAAGUUGCAGAGCAUCUUCAAAAGGAUGAACACCCAUAUGCUCUAUGGCCUUGAAGGAUUUGUUAUUUAUGCAUGCAAUAAAAUUAUAUUAACGGUCAUUGAGUCCAUGUUCUUGUCUCAACACAGCAAGUUAGUUUACUUGUUGCGCCCACCCCCUCCCUCCUCUCCUCCUAUAGGGCUCAUUCUCUCAAUGCAUUUAUUCAUGGUUGUAAUAGGCAGCAUUCAUUUAAAUGUAGGUGACCAUACUCAUCUUUGCAAGUUUACACAGGCAAAUACAUAGGCUAGCAAGUUCACAGUAAAGGAAUGAGUCAUUUGAUGAUCAUUCCAUGUGUGAAUUUGAAUGUGUGCUCUCGUUUUGAUGCAGUGUUGCCUCCUGAAACGCGUACGCAGGUGUCGUGCGUGGAUGCAUGCAAACGUUAUGGGCCACUAAAUGAAAGUAUCCAGUUCCCAGAUCAGUUCAUAUUUCAUUAUUAAAUUAUAACAAUGUUACAUGUGAAAACAAAGACUUAACAGUUAGCGUGAGGAGACGGCAUGUAGGCUAAUGAGAGCUGUCAAUUGUGUAACCUAGCUUAAGUGUAAACUAGAAAGCUGUUUCGUACAUCUCAUCCAGGGUUUUGGUCUGUAGAAGUUACAACUACAAAUAUUUUUUUUUUUACGUUCUUCACGUUUUCAUGCCGUUGAUUCAUCGUGGAAUUUCGGUCGUCUGACAGAAACUGACCAAUCUGGGAUGCGUUUCCCAAAUAGUUGCUAACCUGUUAGUUGGUUGGCAAUGGGGAAAUUGUAUUGCAACCAGCUAAGUUGCUAACUUAGCAGCUAGGAAACGCAACCCUGACCAAUCAACGUUGAUUCGACCUCCUUUGCUAUCUGGGUAGCCUCCAUACAUUUCCGUUGGUUCCUUAAAACAUGUACAUUUAACUAUUAUAACUUUAUUACUGCUACAAACAAUGUUAACUUGACUUAUUAUACAUUCUCGUUCUCUGGAUAGGUAAUACUGACAAUCGCGCAAGCGUAGAACCGAUCAUGUAGUGUCGUAAACCAUCGUAAAAGACGUUGAACUUCUGC